rnacentral:tRNA from 1 species
UGCGGCGUAGAGCAGUUCGGCAGCUCACCAGGCUCAUGCCCUGGAGGACGUGGGUUCGAAUCCUACCGCCGCAA